rnacentral:misc_RNA from 1 species
UUUGUCUAUUAUUGAUUUAAUAUGAUGCUUCAAUGUAAGUUUUGAGUCUAAGUGGAGUUCUAGGUAUUUAACUUGCUUUGUUUGUGGUAUGUGCGUGCUAUCAAUUAGAUAUUUGGUAGUUUCUGUUUUCGUAGUGUAAAUAUAAUAUGGUUGGAUUUACUGGGGUUUGCUUUUAUUUUUUUAUCUUAUAACCAUUUUUCUAUUUUUGUGAUAUAUUCUUGUAACUGCUGUUUCUGGAUUAGUAUGCUUGACUAGUACAGCCGUAUCGUCGGCGAAUAUCAGUGUUUUCCUAUUGGUAGUUGUUGAUAUGUUGGCCGUGUAUAGUGUAUAUAAUAUUGGUCCUAAGACCCGCUUCUUUGUGGUAUUCCUGCCUUGAUGUCUUUAACUUCAAAAUAUAUGUCCUUUAUUUUUACUACAAAAGUUCUGUUGGAUUUUACAUAGAAAGCGGAAGUGCUGACGGACCGAGAAGGAUGGGAAAUUCGGAGUACCAAAAACUGGUAUAAAAAGGACGUCUUGAUGGAGAGACUGGUCAGUGGUCAAUAGUUGUAAUUGGAGUUACGACUGAAUUGCGACUAGUUGCAGUUACGAGUAGGCUACGACUAGUUGCGGGUUAAUCGUUACUCAUGAGUUGUCGAGUCGUUGUGAGUUGUUAGGUGUAAGUUGUAAGUUGAAUAGUUAAACAAAUUUAGUUGCCUUAGUUGUAUCAGAUUACUACAUUAAGCUCUAAUUAAAUAGUUACAGUUUUCUGUUUCAGUCACAAUAGAUAAAUUUAUAUAAUAAAUAAAGGUCACUAUAAUUCUGAUUUCUAUAUAGAUAUCAAUAGGAAAUAUCUUUUUUACGUAUUUAAAGCAUUAACUUUUUACUUUAUUACUGAAGUACACAAUAUUACUGAAGACACAAAUAUAAGAAAUAAACAAAUUUGUGCAGUACUAUAAAAAAUAACAAUUUUAUGUUUUAUUUGUUAUACAUUUCAUUGAUUGCUUUGUAUAAUUCUUAAUAACAAAUUAAAUAUUGUGCAAAGCAAUCAAUGAGAUGUAUAACAAAUAAAACAAAUGAUUGAUAUACAUAAACAUUUUAGGAUUUCAAUUGCUUACCUUCUAAUAACUGUGAUUAAUUAUUAUGUCCACAAUACAUUACCUGAACAAAUUUAAAUUUAAAAAUCGAAUAUGGUGUACUAAUGUUGGCACAUACCAAAAAUACUAAUAAUAAAUUACAUUUGUAUUAACAUACUAACCAAAAAAUUUACAUUACAAAUGAAUAUUUACUAGAAAUAACUUUUAAUAAAUUAAAAUUUUUGUGGUUAUUGCACUUUGUGAAAAUAUAAUUAUUUUGCAUUCAUUAGCAUGAAAAUGACUGAUUAUUUAUAAGAAAUUUUAAUUACAGUAUAUGAGAAAAUGUAAGUAUGAAUUUGAAUACCAGUGUUGUCUAUAGUAUAUAGUGAAUACUAGUUAUGUAACUAGUUCUAAUUCACUCUUUAUUCUAUGAUAAAAAAUGUACCAUUA